CUCAGGUGGGUUAUGGACGAAGCGAAAAAAUCUACAAAAUAUGGUUCUCUUAAUGAAGUGGCAAAGGUGUUGCUCAACAAUUUAUUGUCUUUACCUUUUGCAAUAAUCAUGAUAUUCCUUUUCGGCGAGUGCGAUUAUGUAAUACACGCGUGAGUGUAUGUUUCUUUGUUUUGAAAUUCAACGAAGCCUUAUAUUAUACAUUCUCACCAUCGGUUUUGUUUUGGUCUCCAGCGACGUAGUGGACUGAUCUGACUUUCAAUCAGCUUUACCUCAAAGUGGUUUUUACAUCAAACUAGCAAGUUGUCAUUUAGGUUGCAGCAGUCUGUGGUUAAAAUGACUACUCGGGUUUGCUAUUAAGACUUCAGUUUAUGCUGCAUGGUGUUGUUUCUGAAGUUUCAUACUCUGGUCUUGUAGCUUAUAUACAAUUAAGGAGACUGUUAAUUUCUGGUGCAAAGACCAAAACAAAAUCAGUACUUCUGCGUGACAUCCUUCACUUCGAACGUCUUCGCUCUUCAAACCUUUGGCAUUAAUACACUUCUCCAAGCACUUUUUUGGAACAAGAUUGUAUGGAGUAGUUAGAGGCUCAUUUGCAUAUGUAAUUCCAGCUACUUAUAUUAUUGGUGACUCUGAUUGUAACUGAUUAAUGAUCCUUACGAACGUAAUGAUCACGUGUUACCCUUUCGCCCUCUUUUGAUCAAAAGAUCAACCAGUGGACUUUUGAAUGUGCGGUCAGGAAAUGCACCAGCAAAUUCUUUUCCAACUGUUACAGCAACUCCGUAGCCGGGCAGAUCCUGAUUCCUGCAAGCCAUAAAAAGUUUGCAUGCUGUUAGCAUGAAUUUUGUGAGUUGAUUAGCUAUUCUUGUGAGUUGAUUGGUUAUGUAAAUAAAUUUAAAAAACUAUGCAUCUCAGUGUAAUGUAUAGAAGUGUUAGUUAAUUAGUUGCAAAGUGAGUUAAUAAUGCUGUUAAUUAGUUGGCAUUUGGUAAGCACACG